CAAGAUGUAGCUUAAUCAAAGCAUCCGGCUUACACCCGGAAGACUUCACAUUUCCAUGAACAUCUUGA
rnacentral:tRNA from 1 species